rnacentral:rRNA from 1 species
GAUGAACGCUGGCGGCGUGCCUAAUACAUGCAAGUCGAGCGAACAGACGAGGAGCUUGCUCCUCUGACGUUAGCGGCGGACGGGUGAGUAACACGUGGAUAACCUACCUAUAAGACUGGGAUACUUCGGGAAACCGGAGCUAAUACCGGAUAAUAUAUUGAACCGCAUGGUUCAAUAGUGAAAGACGGUUUUGCUGUCACUUAUAGAUGGAUCCGCGCCGCAUUAGCUAGUUGGUAAGGUAACGGCUUACCAAGGCAACGAUGCGUAGCCGACCUGAGAGGGUGAUCGGCCACACUGGAACUGAGACACGGUCCAGACUCCUACGGGAGGCAGCAGUAGGGAAUCUUCCGCAAUGGGCGAAAGCUUGACGGAGCAACGCCGCGUGAGUGAUGAAGGUCUUCGGAUCGUAAAACUCUGUUAUUAGGGAAGAACAAAUGUGUAAGUAACUAUGCACGUCUUGACGGUACCUAAUCAGAAAGCCACGGCUAACUACGU